rnacentral:rRNA from 1 species
CCUACGGGGGGCAGCAGUGGGGAAUAUUGGACAAUGGGGGCAACCCUGAUCCAGCCAUGCCGCGGGUGUGAAGAAGGCCCUCGGGUUGUAAAGCACUUUCAGUGAGGAAGAACGCCUGGUGGUUAAUACCCAUCAGGAAAGACAUCACUCACAGAAGAAGCACCGGCUAACUCCGUGCCAGCAGCCGCGGUAAUACGGAGGGUGCGAGCGUUAAUCGGAAUUACUGGGCGUAAAGCGCGCGUAGGUGGCUUGAUAAGCCGGUUGUGAAAGCCCCGGGCUCAACCUGGGAACGGCAUCCGGAACUGUCAAGCUAGAGUGCAGGAGAGGAAGGUAGAAUUCCCGGUGUAGCGGUGAAAUGCGUAGAGAUCGGGAGGAAUACCAGUGGCGAAGGCGGCCUUCUGGACUGACACUGACACUGAGGUGCGAAAGCGUGGGUAGCAAACAGGAUUAGAUACCCCGGUAGUC